GGCAAUGGUUUUAAUGUUUUGAUGAGAUCAUACUAGUGAGAUCUAAAAUCUUGAUAGCUAUGACCUAAAAUAUUUUCAGUCAUUGAUUCAUUGAGUCAGGGAUCAAUGAUAUCGAUAAGACUGGCAUGUCCUAUGUAUGCUCAGAGAUAUGGGUGGUUGAUCUCACAACCACUUGUGUAGUGACACUAAUACAAGAAUAUGGGUGUU
rnacentral:lncRNA from 1 species